CCUACGGGAGGCAGCAGUGAGGAAUAUUGGUCAAUGGGCGCGAGCCUGAACCAGCCAAGUCGCGUGAAGGAUGACUGUCCUACGGGUUGUAAACUUCUUUUGUCAAGGAACAAAGUGAGGCACGUGUGCCUUUUUGUGUGUACUUGAAGAAAAAGCAUCGGCUAACUCCGUGCCAGCAGCCGCGGUAAUACGGAGGAUGCGAGCGUUAUCCGGAUUUAUUGGGUUUAAAGGGUGCGUAGGUGGGUUGUUAAGUCAGCGGUGAAAGUUCGGGGCUCAACCCCAUCAGUGCCUUUGAAACUGGCAGUCUUGAGUACGCGUGAGGUAUGCGGAAUGCGUGGUGUAGCGGUGAAAUGCUUAGAUAUCACGCAGAACUCCGAUUGCGAAGGCAGCAUAC
rnacentral:rRNA from 1 species